CUGCCCGCUAAGCACUUAAGCUGAAGAAGUCACCCUACCGCCACCUGCCAGUCGCUUUCGCUGUCGUGGGCAACCCAGGCUGAAACCCAGCUCUUGCCGGACACCUCCCCCGCCCCCGACCCCGUCAACCGUCAAGGCUUGUCCCGACACCGAGUCGGUUCUAGUUCCUUUGUGUCUUCCACAGGACUCCCUUCCUCCAGCAAUCGCAGCCGGGAGAGCCUUGUAUUGCGUCCCCGCCCUGGGCCAGGCGUGGGCAUCACCCUUGCACUCCUUUUCCGCAGCCCGGUGGCGCGCCCGCUGAGAUCUCCACUUCGCAGACGGGUCAUCUGAGUUGUGCGGGCCGCCAGGGGAGUCUGGAGUCCACCCUGGGCCCACUUGGCUCCCAGGCCUUCUGUUUCCUUUGCUCUUUGUCGGCCCUCUCUUCCCUCCUGUCUCUCCCCAACUCUGACUCGUAGGGGGAAGCCGCUGACAUUUGGGGGAAACUUUAACACCGAUACCAGUUGUUAUCGGAGAGGGGUCUCGAUCCAGACCCCAAGCGAGAGUUCUUGGACUUCGCACAAGAAAGAAUUCGAGGAUGUGAGAUACCUGAAGGCAGGGGCUGUCUUUCUCGCCUUCACUUCUGUGACUAGAAAAGCACAUUGAGGUUUUAAUUUGAGUUACGUACUCUUUCAGCAGCCUGAAUGAAUGGGCCUGCUCGUGCUUUCAUUUGUCUUGAGAGAACUGAAAUGGACAGGACAAAUGACUGGCUCAAGGUCACACUGCAGCUGUGAUAAGGUGAGGUUGUAAUUUAGAAUCAUUGAUGACUUCUUCAUCCAGCCAAUAUUUAUUGAGCAUUUAUUAGGCACCAGACUGUGUUCCAG